UAUUUAAGAUGAGUAGGCUUGUUUUCUCCCUGAAAUUCAAAACAUUUCGUUGAGCCGAGAUGAGGUCAAAGUGGAAACUGUCGCCUGCUCGGCGGCCAUUGCUGCUGUUGUGCCGGCAUUCUGGGCCGUUGGAAAAGCCCAAAAGGGGCGGGAAGGCUGUUAAUGGGCGGCGGAGCCACCCUCGUCAACGGGAAAAAUCCAGCGAGUUUGUCACAUUGCCGGACCACCCAGCCACCUAGCACCCAGCCACCACCCACUCCUCACCCACCUCCCACCGAGCCAGUCAGCCAUCAUCAUCAUCAGCAUCUGAGUAAACAACAAAACAUGGACAGUAAAUUGUAAACGUCAUAAUGUCGGGGGCGAGCAGCGGCAACAAGAGUAGCAACUGUAUAAAUUAUUACACUGUGUACUCUUAGCGCACAUAAAAAUACAUUAAUAAAUAUUAUUUAUGUAUACUCGUA